rnacentral:rRNA from 1 species
GACGAACGCUGGCGGCGUGCUUAACACAUGCAAGUCGAACGGAAAGGCCCUGCUUUUGUGGGGUGCUCGAGUGGCGAACGGGUGGGUAACACGUGAGUAACCUGCCCUUGACUUUGGGAUAACUUCAGGAAACUGGGGCUAAUACCGGAUAGGAGCUCCUGCUGCAUGGUGGGGGUUGGAAAGUUUCGGCGGUUGGGGAUGGACUCGCGGCUUAUCAGCUUGUUGGUGGGGUAGUGGCUUACCAAGGCUUUGACGGGUGGCCGGCCUGAGAGGGUGACCGGCCACAUUGGGACUGAGAUACGGCCCAGACUCCUACGGGAGGCAGCAGUGGGGAAUAUUGCACAAUGGGCGGAAGCCUGAUGCAGCAACGCCGCGUGCGGGAUGACGGCCUUCGGGUUGUAAACCGCUUUCGCCUGUGACGAAGCGUGAGUGACGGUAAUGGGUAAAGAAGCACCGGCUAACUACGUG